GACGAACGCUGGCGGCGUGCUUAACACAUGCAAGUCGAGCGGUAAGGCUCCUUCGGGAGUACACGAGCGGCGAACGGGUGAGUAACACGUGAGCAAUCUGCCCUUCACUUCGGGAUAACUCCGGGAAACCGGUGCUAAUACCGAAUACGACCACUUCAGGCAUCUGAUGGUGGUGGAAAGUUCCGGCGGUGAAGGAUGAGCUCGCGGCCUAUCAGCUUGUUGGUGGGGUAACGGCCCACCAAGGCAACGACGGGUAGCCGGCCUGAGAGGGUGACGGGCCACACUGGGACUGAGACACGGCCCAGACUCCUACGGGAGGCAGCAGUGGGGAAUAUUGGACAAUGGGCGAAAGCCUGAUCCAGCAACGCCGCGUGAGGGAUGACUGCCUUCGGGUUGUAAACCUCUUUCAGCAGGGACGAAGCGCAAGUGACGGUACCUGCAGAAGAAGCACCGGCCAACUACGUGCCAGCAGCCGCAGUAACAC
rnacentral:rRNA from 1 species